rnacentral:rRNA from 1 species
AUGUCCGGGGAGCUGCCAUCAGCUCUGAGCAACUGCACAAAUCUCAUAACAGUUGACCUCAGGAGCAACAAUUUUACUGGAGAACUUACCAAGGUCAAUUUCUCCAACCUGCCCAAACUAAAAACUUUAGACCUUCUGUACAACAACUUCAGUGGCAAAAUUCCCGAGAGCAUAUACUCUUGCAGCAAUCUGAUUGCACUGCGACUAUCUGGCAACAAAUUAAAUGGGCAGCUUUCACCACGAAUAGGUGAUCUGAAGCACCUCACUUUCCUGUCACUUGCUAAAAAUUCUUUCAAAAACAUCACAGAUGCACUUCGAAUCCUUCAGAGCUGUACAAACCUUACAACCUUACUUAUUGGGCAGAACUUCAAGGGAGAACUCAUGCCAGAGGAUGACUGGCUUAAUGGUUUUGAGAAUCUUCAGAUUUUGGACAUCGAAGAAUGCCCAUUGUUUGGGAAAAUAUCUCAUUGGAUAUCAAGGCUCGCAAAUUUGGAGAUGUUAUUUUUAACUAGCAAUCAACUCACUGGACCAAUACCAGGCUGGAUCAACUCCCUAAGCCAUCUCUUGUACAUGGAUGUGUCAAACAACAAUCUUACAGGUGAAAUCCCGUUAACCUUAAUGGAAAUGCCAAUGCUAAAAUCAAUUGAAAACGCAACUCAUUGGAAGGCAAGGCCAAGGGUCUUUGAGCUGCCUGUUUAUGAUGGUCCAUCACUUCAAUACCGCGUUGUUACAUCUUUCCCGACAGUGUUGAAUCUAAGCAACAACUACUUCACAGGUGUGACCCCCCCACGGAUUGGUCAGUUGAAAGUGCUUGUUCUACUUGAUUUCAGUUUCAACAAGUUAUCCGGGCAGAUCCCACAAUCGGUUUGCAACCUCACAAACUUGCAGGUGCUAGACUUGUCCAGCAACAAUCUCACAGGUGCUAUCCCAGCUGCAUUGAAUAGCCUGCACUUCCUUUCAGCAUUCAACAUUUCGAACAAUGACCUAGAAGGGCCUAUUCCAUCUGGAGGCCAGUUUAAUACAUUUCAAAAUUCUAGUUUCGAUGGGAAUCCAAAGCUCUGUGGCUCUAUGCUCACUCACAAAUGUCGUCCAGCUUCAACACCUCUAGUUCCAAGAAAACAAGGAAAUAAGGUCAUUUUUGCAGUUGCAUUUGGUGUGUUCUUUGGAGGUAUUGCUUUUCUUUUGUUGCUGGGGCGUCUCCUUGUCUCAGUCAGGAUGAAGGGUUUUACAGCAAAAAGUCGAAGGAAGAAUAACGGAGGCAAUGAGGCAACUUCAUUCUACUCUAGUUCAGAGCAAACACUAGUGGUGAUGCAGAGGCCACAAGGAAAAGGGGAAGAAAACAAGCUCAAAUUCGCCAACAUUGUGAAAGCUACGAACAACUUUGACAAGGAGAACAUCAUUGGAUAUGGAGAUUAUGGAUUAGUCUACAAGGCAGAGCUACCUGAUGGAUCCAAGCUGGCAAUCAAAAAGCUCAAUGGUGAAAUGUUUCUGAUGGAAAGAGAAUUUAGAGCAGAGGUUGAUGCACUCUCCAUGGCACAGCAUGAAAAUCUUGUACCAUUGUGGGGUUACUGCGCACAGGGAAACUCAAGGCUGCUCAUUUAUUCUUACAUGGAGAAUGGCAGCCUGGAUGAUUGGCUUCAUAACAGGGAUGAUGAUGCCAAUUCCUGUCUUGACUGGCCGACUCGGCUCAAGAUUGCACAAGGAGCGAGCCUGGGCCUUUCUUAUAUCCAUGAUGUCUGCAAGCCUCAGAUUGUCCAUCGUGACAUCAAAUCCAGCAACAUCCUACUGGACAAAGAAUUUAAAGCUUAUGUUGCAGACUUUGGGCUAGCCAGAUUGAUCCUUCCCAACCAAACACAUGUCACAACUGAGUUAGUUGGCACAACGGGUUACAUUCCCCCUGAGUAUGGGCAAGCAUGGGUUGCUACGUUAAGAGGUGAUAUGUACAGUUUCGGGGUAGUCCUUCUUGAGCUGCUCACAUGGAGGCGACCUAUUCCAGUCCUGUCUACGUCAAAAGAACUUGUCCCGUGGGUUCUACAGAUGAGGUCUGAGGAUAAGCAGAUUGAGGUCCUGGAUCCAACACUUAAAGGAACAGGGUAUGAAGAGCAAAUGCUGAAGGUGCUUCAAACUGCUUGCAGGUGUGUCGAUCAUAAUCAAUUCAGGAGGCCAACUAUCAUGGAAGCAGUCUCCUGCCUGGCCAGUAUAAAUGCUGACCUGGACACAUGA